rnacentral:rRNA from 1 species
CCUGAAGUGGGGGAUAACCAUUGGAAACGAUGGCUAAUACCGCAUAAUACCUACGGGUCAAAGAGGGGGACCUUCGGGCCUCUCGCGUCAGGAUAUGCCUAGGUGGGAUUAGCUAGUUGGUGAGGUAAUGGCUCACCAAGGCGACGAUCCCUAGCUGGUCUGAGAGGAUGAUCAGCCACACUGGAACUGAGACACGGUCCAGACUCCUACGGGAGGCAGCAGUGGGGAAUAUUGCACAAUGGGCGCAAGCCUGAUGCAGCCAUGCCGCGUGUGUGAAGAAGGCCUUCGGGUUGUAAAGCACUUUCAGUCGUGAGGAAGGUAGUGUAGUUAAUAGCUGCAUUAUUUGACGUUAGCGACAGAAGAAGCACCGGGCUAACUCCGUGCCAGCAGCCGCGGUAAUACGGAGGGUGCGAGCGUUAAUCGGAAUUACUGGGCGUAAAGCGCAUGCAGGUGGUUUGUUAAGUCAGAUGUGAAAGCCCGGGGCUCAACCUCGGAAUAGCAUUUGAAACUGGCAGACUAGAGUACUGUAGAGGGGGGUAGAAUUUCAGGUGUAGCGGUGAAAUGCGUAGAGAUCUGAAGGAAUACCGGUGGCGAAGGCGGCCCCCUGGACAGAUACUGACACUCAGAUGCGAAAGCGUGGGGAGCAAACAGGAUUAGAUACCCUGGUAGUCCACGCCGUAAACGAUGUCUACUUGGAGGUUGUGGCCUUGAGCCGUGGCUUUCGGAGCUAACGCGUUAAGUAGACCGCCUGGGGAGUACGGUCGCAAGAUUAAAACUCAAAUGAAUUGACGGGGGCCCGCACAAGCGGUGGAGCAUGUGGUUUAAUUCGAUGCAACGCGAAGAACCUUACCUACUCUUGACAUCCAGAGAACUUUCCAGAGAUGGAUUGGUGCCUUCGGGAACUCUGAGACAGGUGCUGCAUGGCUGUCGUCAGCUCGUGUUGUGAAAUGUUGGGUUAAGUCCCGCAACGAGCGCAACCCUUAUCCUUGUUUGCCAGCACUUCGGGUGGGAACUCCAGGGAGACUGCCGGUGAUAAACCGGAGGAAGGUGGGGACGACGU